CCUACGGGAGGCAGCAGUGGGGGAUAUUGCACAAUGGGGGAAACCCUGAUGCAGCGACGCCGCGUGUGGGAAGACGGUCCUCUGGAUUGUAAACCACUGUCCCCAGGGACGAAGAUGACGGUACCUGGGGAGGAAGCUCCGGCUAACUACGUGCCAGCAGCCGCGGUAAUACGUAGGGAGCGAGCGUUGUCCGGAAUUACUGGGUGUAAAGGGAGCGUAGGCGGGACUGCAAGUUGGGUGUCAAAUCUACCGGCUCAACCGGUAGCCGCACUCAAAACUGCAGUUCUUGAGUGAAGUAGAGGCAGGCGGAAUUCCUAGUGUAGCGGUGAAAUGCGUAGAUAUUAGGAGGAACACCAGUGGCGAAGGCGGCCUGCUGGGCUUUUACUGACGCUGAGGCUCGAAAGUGUGGGGAGCAAACAGGAUUAGAUACCCCAGUAGUC
rnacentral:rRNA from 1 species